CUGACAGCCACUGACCCUGGAGGGGGCCUAGGUUAGGACAAUGACCCAAAAAGAUGGUUAAUCAUCAUUGAACUGAUAAAAAAAAAAAAGCCAUCUAUCUAUUUAAAGAGGGACCUUAACAA